UCUAUGUUUCAAACACACACAAACCCUAAAUUUUGAACAUUAAUAGCCCCAGCAAUCAACUCCCUUUAUAUCUACAUUGAUAAACAAUCGGCAGAACGGUGGUGGUGGUCGGGGGCUGUUGGUGGUGGAUCGGUUACAUUGACUGCGAUAAAGGGUGAACUGUGAUUGCCCAAUAUGGUCCAUUAACGGCGAUAACGGGUGAGAUGGAAGCCGAUAACAAGGUUAGAGGUGGUCAUGCGGUGGGCGUGGGUGAAGGUGUAGAUUAGCGACUGUUGGUGGUGUACGGAAGAGAAAUCUCGCUGGGUUUGACUCUCCGUUGAACCACCACCGUCUGUCAGUUCCGGUUACAACCGCCCUUUGACUCUCCGUCGAACCACCGUCCGCAUUCUUCACCAACCACUUCUCCCGAAAUAGCGAGGUUCUUGUUGUGGCUGUGCUUGCUAUGUUUCCACUCAUACCUAAAAGCCUUUGUAAUAGGGCGUACCGACUGUCAUUUAUGGGGACCGCAUGCUUGUCAUUAUACUCACUGUGGGUUGCUUUACUACCCAACGUAUGCAGAAGCUUAGAACACACUGCAAAAUUCACUAGGCGGAAUUUUGGUCGCUCCGCUUUAUACAGGUAAAUCUUUUCUACUUUUUUCGUUUCAUCACUUCGAUUAAAUUAGAUGGUUGGAUUUGUAUUUGUAUUAAUAUUGCGUGUUUUUUGAAUAUUGAUUUGGGCAUUUGGAUGAAACCGUGGUUGUUAAGAUGAGGUUAGGUAAACCAUAAAAGAACACUUUCAUGUGAUAAAAUGUUGGGAUGAAGUUAGGGGUGCUAAACGGGUCGUGUUUGCGGGUUGGUGGGUUCAACCCGACCCGAACCCGAAAUUAUUUCACGAACCCGAACCCGAACCCGAAAAUCGAAUCAUACAUAUUAACCCGAACACGACCCGAAGUUUUGUGUUUUGACCCGAACACGACGCGUUCAACCCGAAUUUUUUAAUUUUUUUUUAUGAAACUAACAUAUUAAAAUUAAAAGUUACUUACAAAUCACUAAUGUAUAUACCUCAAUUAUAUUUAAAUUAUAAAAUCUCAUGUUAAUUUCUCUUUUUAAGUUAUAAUUAUGACA